UGUGGUAACGCUGGUAUGUCAUGUGACGUCACCACGUUGUAUUUUAUAAGAUUUAAUGAUGUUUUCUCACAUUAAUUGGGCCUAUAACAUUGUGAGAUACCCUAGACACAUAGCAUAGAACGGCAAAUUAAGCCUAACAUAAACAGACAUUUCGCAACUUGAAAAUGAAGUCAUCUUAGCUGCAUACGGCCCUGAGGAUGACGUUAUGGUUCUGAGAAUUACCUCCCAUAUCUAGGGGCCAUACUCUCCAUAUAAGGAGAUGGACGCUAUAAUGUCACAUGAUUUUGCCACGCCCGAAGACAAUACUAUAUAAGGGCUGGCAUUGUAACCAUUCGAGGAUGUAAGAUGUAAUGUAACGUACAACCACUAAGCUAGUGCCGCACGCACUAUGCGUCUGGGAGCACACUGCUCUCGUAAAGUCAGGGGUUUGAUUCCUGUUUUAUACUUAUCUCAUGUCUUGAACAAGUAAAGUGUUUGGUUUCACCUCACAAGUUCGCGUCGUCUACCUUAUUUCACACAUUCGAAUCUUCAAGGAGAUCUCGCUUAUCCACACGCUCAACGCUUCGGUUCACAACCAGCUACAAGGUCAACAGGCAGAGUUCAACAUCGCACCUGGCCAGUGCAACCUAACUGUUCAACGUGCAUCAACAUCGCACCUGUCUUGGUGCAGUAUCACCAGGUGGUCGCAGCUAACAACACGUUACCCUCUACGUCCCACGACGUAGCGACCAACUCCUAACAUCCUGAGUUCGCGUGUGAAUCACCAUCCUCACACACGCGAACGUAAACAAACCACAUUACAUGGUGUUCAGCGGCGGGAUCAGUGGCGUGAAGAAAGUGAACGUGUGCGGUGAAUCAUUCACUUGGCUGUAAACCUGAACGGCCGAAGGGAAUCAGAACGUCUACUGAGCCUACUCGAGGGUCAACGCUUCGGAGGAGGUCUGGGUUAACUUGUCGCGGAAGCUCUGGCGCCGGACUACUGGGAAGGAGCAGUCAACUUGAUCACGUGGGAGGAAGCUUUCAUAAGCGGCCUACGUUGAAUCCCGAGGGACAGCAUAGGUGACAAGCCGGGAGCAGCCGCCGCCGCGAGAGGGGCUUGGAACAUCCUUUGGGACAUCGUUUCAACGCACCGAACUACGGCUUUCCGAACACCCUUCACUCUUCAAUUUCCAAACAGAAAAUGCAGCUGUAUAGAGGGAUUUUUGUAAUCACAGUCUGCGUAUGGUGGACACUGCUUCAAGGUCAAGGUCAGAAGGUUGAUGACAUAGAUUCAAGGACAGGCAUAUACUUUGAUGAGAUAGGGACUAUUCGAUUUUAUCCUAUGAGAUGGAAGGUCAUCACAUAUAUAGAUCUAGAACCAACGCGUGAAUUAUGGAAACAAACCAAGCUUCAUCAGAAAAGAGUUACAGAUUUUUGCCAAAAAAUCAAAGACAAAAACUGGUAUCAUUAUACAGAUUGCGCCGCGUUUGGGCAGUAUAUGAAGUCAAAGACUAAAUACAUUGACAGUUUGAAAGAUUUGAUAGCUGAGUAUUGGACAAAAAGUGAUGAGAUUCCGAGUCAUAGAUUCAAAAGAGGUGUUUUAAAUUUUGUGGGUGAAAUAUCCAAAAUUCUAUUUGGAACUUUAACUCAGUCAGAUGCAAAGAAUUACAACAAGCAUAUUACAGAGUUAGAAAGGGAAGAGAAAGAGUUUUUGCAUUUAUCCAAUGAACAGAUGACAGUUAUAAAAGCCACCAUUACUUCAGUUAAUACGACGUUACAGAAAAUUGAUCAGGAUGAGAAAAUUUUGAAGGAAGGUUUAACCAAGUUAUUUAAUUAUAGUACACAUAAAUACAAUGAAAUAGAGGAAGAAGUUCAUAAUGUGAAUGUAAUUAAUGAACGGUCAAAGAUAAUACAGAGGGGAAUUGAUGAAAGUCAACAUUCUUUUGAAAUAUUAAUAGAUUCUUUUGUACAUGCCGAGCAAGGUUCUCUCCAACCACAAUUAGUUACUGCCGAAAAAAUUAAGAAGUUAUUGGAAACACAUAAAUUGUCGAGUGGACUGGAUUAUCCUACUUUUCCUUUUCCGAACUACACAGGAUCAUAACCCCUACUACCCACUUGUAUAAGAAAUGUUUAUUGUAUGUGUGUUAAACUUGUUAACGACAGUAUAAUACCUGAUCAAAGUAUUAUGACAGUAUGAUACCUGAACAAAGUAUCACAAAGGAGAAAUCAACAUAUAACUUCAUCAACUGUAAUAAAGAAUUAAAUUUUACCGAUUCAUUAAGACAACAUUAUGGAAAAAUGAGUAUAAAUGAAUUGACAGGAUGUUUUCAGAUUAAUGAAAUUAUGUUUGUAUGUAAAGGAGAAAUACCUAUUUACACGUAUACUCCUGGAUUAGAUUGUGAAGCAACUUUGUUACAUCCGUCUACAGUCAAGACUCCUGACACUUGUGAGUACAACUUUUUCAAAUUGAAGAAAACUUUUUGUUAUACCAUUAUAUAAGAGUAAUCAAUGGUUGUUUGUUGCACCUGAAAUUGAAACAUUUAUUGUGUUGUGUCCACAAGGGACAAGUACUUUGAAAUUAAAAGGGGAAGUUAAAUUAACUUUGAAACCAGAAUGUAAAGGAUAUUCUUCUUAUGUGACUAUGUAUGCUAUUUCAACUUUUUACAUCAAUUUAACAAAUUAUUAUGUGCCUUCUGCUCCUAUUGAUUUUGAUUGUUGUUUUGAGGGAGUGAAAGAUGUAAACUUUGAAGAAUUGCCUUUGCACAUCCCAUUAGUAAAUAUUAUGUCUUCAGUAGAUGACUAAAGAAUUAUAAGUAAGAAAACUGAAGAAGUACCACAAUUAAUCAGAGAACAAGAAACUAAACAAAAUGAGAAAUUUUAUAUGAUUACGACAUCUUGGGGAACAGCAGUAGCCAUAAUUUGUAUAAUUAUUUUGUGUGUUUGUUGCAGCUGUUGUUGUUGUAAGUGUUGCAGAAAUUGUUUCUUUUGGUUUUGGGACAAAUGGAGCCCUAGAGAUUGUUGGCAACAGACAAAAGAGAAAUGUUGUAUUAAUAUUCAUAACUAUAAUGGUUCUAGGGUUGAAUACAAGAAAACAAAUACCUCUCCAGUAGGUUCAGUAAAGUCCUUACCUGAAGUAGAUAAUAUUAUUGUUGAACUUAAGGAAUUGAAAGGAAGGACAGGUGAAAUUUCAAAAUCAGAAAAUGAGAUAGAUAAAGUUUUGAGGAGAACAAAAAA